CCUCCGGCGCACCUCCUUUCCCCUCCGCUCCCCCGCGCCUCCUUUUCUCCCACCCACAUCGCCGCCUUUGCCAUCCACCGCCUUGAACCGCGCUGUCGGCGGCCAGAUCCGUUGCAACAGACCCCCCCCCCCACGACGACGAGCAGCAGCGGAGGGAGGACGAGGAGUACGACGGCGGCGGCGGCAGGGAGUAGCAGCAGGCCUUGGGCGAGGUCGAUGAGCAACGAGCAGUAGCGGAGGGAGGAUGAGGAGCACGAAGGCGGCGGCGGUGGGGAGUGGUUUACAGCGCUGCCAGGGCCGUGCUGGAGCGGCUCGAUGCGCCGGCCGUGUGCGUCGAGGAGCCAGCUACUAGCAAGGAACACCGCCAUGGAUGCCUCGACUAGACAAAGCACAGCGCUCCUCGUCCUUGCUCCCACACCGCGGCCCUUUUCCUUCGGCGGCGGCCGCGCUGCGUAAAGAUGGAAAUGCGGGUUCAGGGAGAAACAUCGGGUGGAUCUGCUUGAAGCUCUGGAUGUCGACUUCAUUUACUCAUAUAUAAGAUUAUGGUCAGCUAAGAGGUUAUGGUGUGACACUCAAGUGAUCCAGAUUAUGGUUAGCUAAGAGGUGUUAUUUCACUCUUACUGCUUGGUGGAAGGACAGCACACUCAAGGUUCAGGAUACCACUGUUUAUUAUGAGACCACUAUUUGUGACAUAAAAGGGGUACAAAUCUUAGCAAUCCUUUGAAAGAAACUUCCUAUAUCAUUUGGGGUGAGGCUUUAAGGACGAGCAUGAAUUUUCUUGAACCUUUUUAUAGAACUUUACGUAAUGUACUGUCUGAUGAUAAUCCUUUGCUUUGUGGAUAUUCCGUUUGGUAGUAUGGUUGUAGUUCUCGGUGGGAACCUGAGACAAAUAUUGCCUGUUAUCGAGGGACGGACACGGCCACUGAUAGUCGAUGCAAGUAUCACACCCUCAUCGUUGUGGCGGUUUAUGUGACUGUCCAUUGGCAUGCACCUUUAUGUCACUCAUUGGAGUGUCCACUCUCAUUAGAUUUUCCUCCUUGGGUAAUCACCGGUUAUAUGGUUCAUGUUUUGACUGCUGCUGUUUUCUUCUCCCCACGGUAUUGUUGGCUGCUGUUCGGGUUGCUUUUCCAAGUUCUCAAGGUUGCUCUUUCUCUGCCAGAUGGAAUUCAACACUCUCUCUGAGCCAAAAGUUGGCGCCGCUCAUUGGAAUGUCUAUGUUUGUUUCACAAUUGUGGCGCCAUUGCGGUGCAACGGAUACUGGUCCUAUUAAACAUACUGAUAUGGUCUUGUUUGACAAUUUGGAAUUACUUAUUUUCCUCUGGUUGGCAGUUCUUUUAUUGCAUGUUCGUUGUGCUUCGUGCCAGUUGACUGAAAUUGUGUUCUCCAUCCAUAUAGGGAAACCAUAUCUAUGCAGAGAUUUUAGAGAAGGCUGUCCACCAGUUCAUAGAUCUUAUUUAAGAAAUCAUGGUAUAUGAGCUUAGGAAGUUCUUUGUGCUCUCAAGGAAGUAUCAAUUCAGGCCUGUUGAGGGGAUCUUGCAUGAUUAAGAUCACUUCGUUCACUACUGAUUUCAUAAGGCCUGACACUGAGCCAGAUUUCCUGUUCUGUAUGCUUUAACUCUACUGGCUCAGCUCCCUUACCCAACUGAUAUGCCUGAAAAGUUCACAUGUAUUUCCCUACCACCCGUUCAUCUGCCUAUGCCUUUCUAUAGUGUUGUUUACCA